AGCAGCCGCGGUAAUUCCAGCUCCAAUAGCGUAUAUUAAAGUUGUUGCAGUUAAAAAGCUCGUAGUUGAAUUUCGGGGUUCUAUCGUUGGUCGGGCUAACCAGUCUGUACUAGCGUGUAGAAUUCCUACCUUCUGGGGAACCAUCAUGUUAUUAAUUUAGCGUGGUGGGAAACCAGGACCUUUACCUUGAAAAAUUAGAGUGUUCAAAGCAGGCUUACGUCUGAAUACAUUAGCAUGGAAUAAUAAAAUAGGACGGUGGUCCUGUUUUGUUGGUUUCUGAAUCACCGUAAUGAUUAAUAGGGAUAGUUGGGGGCAUUAGUAUUCAAUUGUCAGAGGUGAAAUUCUUGGAUUUAUUGAAGACUAACUUCUGCGAAAGCAUUUGCCAAGGAUGUUUUCAUUAAUCAAGAACGAAAGUUAGGGGAUCGAAGACGAUCAGAUACCGUCGUAGUCUUAACCAUAAACUAUGCCGACUAGGGAUCGGACGAUGUUAAAUUUUAUUGACUCGUUAGACGUCCUUACG
rnacentral:rRNA from 1 species